AUUGAACGCUGGCGGCAUGCUUUACACAUGCAAGUCGAACGGUAACAGGCCGCAAGGUGCUGACGAGUGGCGAACGGGUGAGUAAUGCAUCGGAACGUGCCCAGUCGUGGGGGAUAACGCAGCGAAAGCUGCGCUAAUACCGCAUACGAUCUCUGGAUGAAAGCGGGGGAGCGAAAGGCCUCGCGCGAUUGGAGCGGACGAUGUAAGAUGAGGUAGUUGGUGGGGUAAAGGGCACCCAAGCCAACGAUCUGUAGCUGGGCUGAGAGGACGACCAGCCACACUGGGACUGAGAAACGGCCCAGACUCCUACGGGAGGCAGCAGUGGGGAAUUUUGGACAAUGGGCGCAAGCCUGAUCCAGCAAUGCCGCGUGCAGGAAGAAGGCCUUCGGGUUGUAAACUGCUUUUGUACGGAACGAAACGGUCCGGGUUAAUACCCUGGGCUAAUGACGGUACCGUAAGAAUAAGCACCGGCUAACUACGUGCCAGCAGCCGCCGUAACAC
rnacentral:rRNA from 1 species